UAAAUGAAUUGGGAAUGACUGAGCAGUGG
rnacentral:piRNA from 1 species